UAAUUUGUCUGUAGCAGAUUCUCAUCUAGUUAUGGCAGACUCAUACCUGCUCAAAAUCACUUAUUAUUACAGGUCUAACCACAUCAAGUUUUAGCUACGUGGAAUGAAGAGAAUUUUCAGGUAUAAUCGGUAGAUUACGGU
rfam:Populus trichocarpa isolate Nisqually-1 chromosome 6, whole genome shotgun sequence.